GAAUGUAGCUUAGUUGGUAUAGUGCUUGCCUCCCAUGUACAAGGCCCUGCCUGGGUUCAAUCCCCAGCACG
rnacentral:tRNA from 1 species